rnacentral:rRNA from 1 species
AGAGUUUGAUCAUGGCUCAGGAUGAACGCUAGCGGGAGGCUUAAUACAUGCAAGUCGAGGGAGAAUCCAGACUUCGGUCUGGAGGAAACCGGCGCACGGGUGAGUAACACGUACACAACUUGCCCCUAACUGGGGAAUAGCCCUGGGAAACUGGGAUUAAUACCCCAUAAUAUUGACGCAUCUCAUGAAAUGUCAAUUAAAGUUCCGGCGGUUAGGGAUAGGUGUGCGUCCCAUUAGCUUGUUGGUGAGGUAACGGCUCACCAAGGCGACGAUGGGUAGGGGGCGUGAGAGCGUGAUCCCCCACACGGGUACUGAGACACGGACCCGACUCCUACGGGAGGCAGCAGUAAGGAAUAUUGGACAAUGGGCGCAAGCCUGAUCCAGCCAUCCCGCGUGCAGGAAGAAGGCCCUAUGGGUCGUAAACUGCUUUUGUCAGGGAAGAAACCUCUCGAUUUACUCGAGAGCUGACGGUACCUGAAGAAUAAGCACCGGCUAACUCCGUGCCAGCAGCCGCGGUAAUACGGAGGGUGCAAGCGUUAUCCGGAAUCACUGGGUUUAAAGGGUGCGUAGGUGGCAUUGUAAGUCAGAAGUGAAAGUUUGCGGCUUAACCGUAAAAUUGCUUUUGAUACUGCAGUGCUUGAAUCAGGUUGAGGUCGGCGGAAUGUGGCAUGUAGCGGUGAAAUGCUUAGAUAUGCCAUAGAACACCAAUUGCGAAGGC